CGCUCCACUCAGGAUUUAAAAUCCAAUAGGUAAACGUGUAAAAAAAAAAUUACCUCCCUCUCUCGUAUAAACAGCAUACUAUCGAAACGGAUUAAACGGAUAGUAUUAUAUUAUACUUGCACGGCGUUGCACGCGUUAUUUAAGCGGACUCGUUAACCGGCGCGACAGAUUGUGCGAUUACAAAAUAGUGACAAGGUCUCUUUUUUUUUUUAUUAUUAUUAUUAUUAUUAUUACUAGUCUCUUUUUUUCUCUAUUUUUUCUUUUUUUUUUUUUUAACCUAUUAACCGGCACUGCAUUGUCGUCGACGCACGUUUUAAUGGGUUUUUUUUUUUUUUUUUUUCCCCCGGGUGACCUCUUUUCGCAUCCAGUGUACGUAUACGCGAAACUGUAUACGGCUCUCUUUUAAACGGCCGACAUUGUUCGCCGUAAGACUUUUCUAUAAAUAUGGUUUGAAAUUAAAUUAUUAUUUUCAAUUUCAGAAAAUACGCGUAUUCUAACGAUUUUAUUUUUAUUUUUCCUCCUCCCUCUCUAAUAGCUGUGCUACUACUCAUCGGGACUGCGAGGAUGCAUUUUUUUCCGGUGUCGCUAUAUUAGAGUCCAGAAGAUCAGAAUAAUGGUAGCAAUCGUUUCUGUCGCUGACCUUCUGAAA